AUGUCAGGAACGUGUGAGAACUCCCCCAGACGGUCUUUCGGAGUCACCCUGCCCUCCCAGACAAUUUUGGUGCUGGCUGCCUCCAGGAACCUGACUCUCUCAGUCUCUUACUAUUUCACUCCGUGGGUCAAGUCUAUGCAAAGCCUUCACGCUGAGCCUUGCCUUGCAGGCAGCCUUUGUGAGGCAGUCAUCAUGGCUCAGCUAACUGCAGCAGGAAGAGACAAACAUGGAGCUAAAAGCACAGCAGCUGGGAUUCCAGGAAAGCGGGAAGUUCUGCAGUUAGCAUCAGGAUCUCACUGUGUUGCCCAGGCUGAUCUUGAACUCCUGGGCUCAAACCAUCCUCCUGCCUCAGCCUCCCAAAGUGCUAGGAUUACAAGCGUAAGCCACCACGCCUGGCCUCAUCCUAUCAUUCUUAAUACCCACAGAACACUAUUCAGAAAAUUCAUUGGUUAAAAAAAUGUCAAUUCCUCAAAACAGCAAAGUACUAUCUCCAAGUUCCAUGUAAAGUUUGUGAUUG
rnacentral:lncRNA from 1 species